rnacentral:rRNA from 1 species
CCUACGGGCGGCAGCAGUGGGGAAUAGUGGGCAAUGGGCGCAAGCCUGACCCAGCAACGCCGCGUGAAGGAAGAAGGCUUUCGGGUUGUAAACUUCUUUUCUCAGGGACGAAGCAAGUGACGGUACCGGAGGAAUAAGCCACGGCUAACUACGUGCCAGCAGCCGCGGUAAUACGUAGUUUGCAAGCGUUAUCCGGAUUUACUGGGUGUAAAGGGCGUGUAGGCGGGAAAGCAAGUCAGAUGUGAAAACCAUGGGCUCAACCUGUGGCCUGCAUUUGAAACUGUUUUUCUUGAGUACUGGAGAGGCAGCCGGAAUUCCUAGUGUAGCUGUGACAUGCGUAGAUAUUAGGAGGAACCCCAGUGGCGAAGGCGGUCUGCUGGACAGCACCUGACGCUGAGGCGCGAAAGCGUGGGGAGCAAACAGGAUUAGAUACCCGGGUAGUC